UACGUAGGGCGCAAGCGUUAUCCGGAAUUAUUGGGCGUAAAGAGCUCGUAGGCGGUUUGUCGCGUCUGCCGUGAAAGUCCGGGGCUCAACCCCGGAUCUGCGGUGGGUACGGGCAGACUUGAGUGCAGUAGGGGAGACUGGAAUUCCUGGUGUAGCGGUGAAAUGCGCAGAUAUCAGGAGGAACACCGGUGGCGAAGGCGGUUCUCUGGGCAUUACCUGACGCUGAGGAGCGAAAGUGUGGGGAGCGAACAGG
rnacentral:rRNA from 1 species